rnacentral:misc_RNA from 1 species
AUGAGGGCUUCGGCCUAAACCCCUAACCAUUGUGAACGCUACAUGUUUCGUUCCUCGCUGGUGGCGGCUUCGCCUAACCGACCCUUGCGGGGAGCUACCCGCCGGGGCACUAAACUCUUAUUAUUAUGUCAUUCUGUGAGUAUACUUUUAAAUAAGUUA